rnacentral:rRNA from 1 species
UACGGGGGGAGCAAGCGUUGUUCGGAUUUACUGGGCUUAAAGGGCGCGUAGGCGGGCCGCCAAGUUCGAGGUGAAAUCCUCCGGCUCAACCGGAGAACUGCCUCGAAUACUGGAGGCCUCGAGGCGGGUAGGGGCAUGCGGAACUGUGGGUGGAGCGGUGAAAUGCGUUGAUAUCCACAGGAACUCCGGUGGCGAAGGCGGCAUGCUGGACCCGAUCUGACGCUGAGGCGCGAAAGCCAGGGGGAGCAAACGGGG